rnacentral:tRNA from 1 species
GGCUCGGUAGCUUAGUUGAUAAAGCGCUCGUCUAGCAUAUAAUAGUUCUGGGUUCGAACCCCAGCGGAGCAA